AUAGAAUUAAUAAUUUGAUUUGUAUGAGCAGUUAGCGCAAAAUUUAACAUCUGAAUGAAAUAUAUACAUACAUCGCAAAUUAGCCGAAUCAGAUAUUUAGACAUUUAAUUAACAUAAAACAUUUCCAAGCAUCCUUCGAUGAUUUAGAAAUUCUUCUAAAUUGAAGAAUAGGUAUUUUAACGCAAACCGGAUGAAAUAUGUAUUUACUAUUCAAUGAACAUAUUAAUACAUCUUCAUUGCGGCCGAUGGCCGAGUGGUAAUGCUGUCGGCGUGCCAUGCAGGACGAGCCUGAUUCGCGUCCCGGAAUCUCCUGAAAAGCUUUUUCGGGAUGCUGGGCCCAGUCCGGCCAUCCCCGACCUCACCAUCCGGCUCUUCUCCACGAAUGUAGGUGAAGCCCGUGGUUGGAACUGGCCCCGCUCCUUAGUGAUCUCCCUGAUUGAAAAAGGGCGUAAAAUAUG
rnacentral:lncRNA from 1 species